UGCCAAUCCCGGCUUGCAUACUCCGCAGUCGAGCGGAAGGCCCUUCGGGGUACUCGAGCGGCGAACGGGUGAGUAACACGUGAGUAACCUGCCCCUGACUCUGGGAUAAGCCCGGGAAACUGGGUCUAAUACCGGAUAUGACCACUCCAGGCAUCUGGUGGUGGUGGAAAGUCUUUUCGGUUGGGGAUGGACUCGCGGCCUAUCAGCUUGUUAGUGGGGUAGUGGCCUACCAAGGCGACGACGGGUAGCCGGCCUGAGAGGGCGACCGGCCACACUGGGACUGAGACACGGCCCAGACUCCUACGGGAGGCAGCAGUGGGGAAUAUUGCGCAAUGGGCGAAAGCCUGACGCAGCGACGCCGCGUGGGGGAUGACGGCCUUCGGGUUGUAAACCUCUUUCAGCAGGGACGAAGUUGACGUGUACCUGCAGAAGAAGCGCCGGCUAACUACGUGCCAGCAGCCGCGGUAAUACGUAGGGCGCAAGCGUUGUCCGGAAUUAUUGGGCGUAAAGAGCUCGUAGGUGGCUGGUCGCGUCUGCCGUGAAAGCCCGCAGCUUAACUGCGGGUCUGCGGUGGAUACGGGCCGGCUAGAGGUAGGUAGGGGCAAGUGGAAUUCCUGGUGUAGCGGUGAAAUGCGCAGAUAUCAGGAGGAACACCGGUGGCGAAGGCGGCUUGCUGGGCCUUACCUGACGCUGAGGAGCGAAAGCGUGGGGAGCGAACAGGAUUAGAUACCCUGGUAGUCCACGCUGUAAACGUUGGGCGCUAGGUGUGGGGGUCUUCCACGAUCUCCGUGCCGGAGCUAACGCAUUAAGCGCCCCGCCUGGGGAGUACGGCCGCAAGGCUAAAACUCAAAGGAAUUGACGGGGGCCCGCACAAGCGGCGGAGCAUGUUGCUUAAUUCGACGCAACGCGAAGAACCUUACCAAGGUUUGACAUCACCCGGAAAGCUUCAGAGAUGGAGCCCUCUUCGGACUGGGUGACAGGUGGUGCAUGGCUGUCGUCA
rnacentral:rRNA from 1 species